AGCCUUCUGUAUACGUUUUGAGAUUUCGUUAAACACCAGACCACAAGGGCUGACGAGACUCCCAAGAUAAGUGAAGCG
rfam:Schistosoma mansoni, Puerto Rico, WGS project CABG01000000 data, contig: 0044